rnacentral:lncRNA from 1 species
GGACUGACUUCAGGGUGGGGCAUUUUGUGGACCCAGCCAGGUUCUCUCCAACUCCUGGAAAAGUACACCUGGAGCAUUUGGGUGACUUCUGGGGCCCCAGGUGGCAGGAACCAGCUGCUCAUGUGCGUGGGCCUACCUGGUGCCCAAAGCUGCUGAGUUCCUCUCUGAGCAGUUCAGAGUGGCUUCUGCUGUCCACCUUCCCUCUUCUGCUCAUGUCCCAGCUCCUGCAUCUUGGGCAGAGGGAGGGCACAGGACGCCAUUAGCAGGUGGAGUAGCAAUCAGACCUGAGCCUGGGAGCUCACCAGUCAGACAGGCCCAUACUGCUCCACAUCCAUGGCUGGCCCUGACAGAACCCGGCUAGGGUUCUGAGAAAUCUAGGCUCCAUCUAACACCUUUUCCUCUCGCCAAGGUCCACUCACGGGUCCUGCGUGAGUUCUGGGUGUCUGUAGGGACCCAGGACCUGCUGCAGGUGGGGCUAGCUGAGGGUGCUCACUGCUCAGGCCCAGAAGGGAACCUCUCUUCUCUCUGCAGCCGCCCUUCCACACACCCCCUCCUCCCAGGUCCCUCACGCAGGGCCCCACCCCCAUCACAUCUGGCUAAGGGCUUCCUACCAAGGGGCUCUUGGGCAGGUGUAGAGAGUGGCCCAUCUCUCUUGCUUGGACACCCAAGAGCUCCUUUGCAUGUGGGAAUCAGCCGCAGCAUGGACUCUGGACAAGGGCCCUUGGAGGAAGGACAAAUGUGACGACCUUAAGGGUCUGGAGUGGCCCAGCACCAUCUGAAGAUGGAGGGAUCUAAGGAUGGGAUCCGAGGCGGUCCCUGAUUUGAAUUUGAUCAGUCCACUGGCUUGAACCACUGAUGCUGCCUGCAUGACUGUCCUGUUGGGCAGGCUGUACUCCUCAGGGGUCUUUGAUUACAAUAACGUAAAGAAAGGCGUUGAUUUAGCAGACCAGAUGUCAUCAUGUUACAGCUCCUUAGAGAAAACAUUAAAACGAUACCCAAA